rnacentral:tRNA from 1 species
UCCCUCAUGGCUCAGAGGGUAAAAGAAUCUGUCUGCAAUGCAGAAGAUCCAGGUUUGAUCCCUGGGUUGGGAA